rnacentral:rRNA from 1 species
UACGGGGGGGGCAAGCGUUGUUCGGAAUUACUGGGCGUAAAGGGUUUGUAGGUGGCCCGCUAAGUCACACGUGAAAUCCCUCAGCUUAACUGGGGAACUGCGUGUGAGACUGGCAGGCUCGAGGGCAGGAGAGGAACGCGGAAUUCCAGGUGUAGCGGUGAAAUGCGUAGAUAUCUGGAGGAACACCGGUGGCGAAGGCGGCGUUCGUGGACUGUCGUCUGACACUGAAGAACGAAAGCCAGGGGAGCAAACGGGGA